rnacentral:rRNA from 1 species
AGACGUCUACAUUAGAUACCCCUGUAGUCCCAGCCGUAAACUAUGCGCGUUAGGUGUAUCGGUGACCACGAGUUACCGAGGUGCCGAAGGGAAACCGUGAAACGUGCCGCCUGGGAGUACGUCCGCAAGGAUGAAACUUAAAGGAAUUGGCGGGGGAGCACCGCAACGGGAGGAGCGUGCGGUUUAAUUGGAUUCAACACCGUAAACUCACCAGGGAAGACUGUUACAUGAAAGCCGAGAUGAAGACUCUGCUAGAUUUUCAG